rnacentral:rRNA from 1 species
UACAGAGGGGCAAGCGUUGUUCGGAAUUACUGGGCGUAAAGGGCGCGUAGGCGGGCUGUCGCGUCCGGGGUGAAAUCCCGGCGGCUCAACCGCGGAACGGCCUCGGAUACGGGCGGCCUCGAGGGGGGUAGGGGCAUCUGGAACUGUGAGUGGAGCGGUGAAAUGCGUAGAGAUCGGAAAGAACACCAACGGCGAAAGCACUCUGCUGGGCCGACACUGACACUGAGAGACGAAAGCUAGGGGAGCGAAUGGG